rnacentral:rRNA from 1 species
CCUACGGGGGGCUGCAGUGGGGAAUAUUGCACAAUGGGCGAAAGCCUGAUGCAGCGACGCCGCGUGAGGGAUGGAGGCCUUCGGGUUGUAAACCUCUUUCGCCAGUGAAGCAGGCCUGUCCCUUUUGUGGGUGGGUUGACGGUAGCUGGAUAAGAAGCGCCGGCUAACUACGUGCCAGCAGCCGCGGUAAUACGUAGGGCGCGAGCGUUGUCCGGAAUUAUUGGGCGUAAAGAGCUCGUAGGCGGCUGGUCGCGUCUGUCGUGAAAUCCUCUGGCUUAACUGGGGGCUUGCGGUGGGUACGGGCCGGCUUGAGUGCGGUAGGGGAGACUGGAACUCCUGGUGUAGCGGUGGAAUGCGCAGAUAUCAGGAGGAACACCGGUGGCGAAGGCGGGUCUCUGGGCCGUUACUGACGCUGAGGAGCGAAAGCGUGGGGAGCGAACAGGAUUAGAUACCCUGGUAGUC